UGGGGAAUAUUGCACAAUGGACGGAAGUCUGAUGCAGCGACGCCGCGUGGGGGAUGAAGGCUUUCGGGUUGUAAACUCCUUUCAGUACAGAAGAAGCUUUAUUGUGACGGUAUGUGCAGAAGAAGCGCCGGCUAACUACGUGCCAGCAGCCGCGGUAAUACGUAGGGCGCGAGCGUUGUCCGGAAUUAUUGGGCGUAAAGAGCUCGUAGGCGGUUUGUCGCGUCUGCUGUGAAAGACCGGGGCUUAACUCCGGGGCUGCAGUGGGUACGGGCAGGCUGGAGUGCGGUAGGGGUAACCGGAAUUCCUGGUGUAGCGGUGGAAUGCGCAGAUAUCAGGGGGAACACCGAUGGCGAAGGCAGGUUACUGGGCCGUUACUGACGCUGAGGAGCGAAAGCAUGGGGAGCGAACAGG
rnacentral:rRNA from 1 species